UACGUAGGGAGCAAGCGUUGUCCGGAAUCAUUGGGCGUAAAGCGCGCGUAGGUGGCUUCGUAAGUCCGUUGUGAAAGUCAAAGGCUCAACCUUUGAAAGCCGAUGGAUACUGCGGAGCUAGAGUACGGAAGAGGCGAGUGGAAUUCCUGGUAUAGCGGUGGAAUGCGCAGAUAUCAGGAGGAACACCAAUAGCGAAGGCAGCUCGCUGGGACGUUACUGACGCUGAGACGCGAAAGCGUGGGGAGCGAACAGG
rnacentral:rRNA from 1 species